UCGGGAAUAUUGCGCAAUGGAGGAAACUCUGACGCAGUGACGCCGCGUGCAGGAAGAAGGUUUUCGGAUUGUAAACUGCUUUAGACAGGGAAGAAACAAGACAGUACCUGUAGAAUAAGCACCGGCAAACUCCGUGCCAGCAGCCGCGGUAAUACGGAGGGUGCGAGCGUUAAUCGGAAUGACUGGGCGUAAAGGGCACGCAGGUGGCGAGAUAGGUUGGAUGUGAAAUUCCCGUGCUUAACAUGGGGACUGCAUCCAAAACUGUUGAACUGGAGUACUGUAGAGGAGGUAGAAUUCCACGUGUAGCGGUGAAAUGCGUAGAGAUGUGGAAGAAUACCAGAGGCGAAGGCGGCCUCCUGGACAGAUACUGACACUGAGGUGCGAAAGCGUGGUAGCAAACAGGAUUAGAUACCCUGGUAGU
rnacentral:rRNA from 1 species